rnacentral:tRNA from 1 species
GGCCCGCCUGGCCGACGGCCAGGUCCGCGCCGGCUUCGGCGCGCAGGGUGCCGUUGGCGACCGUCUUGCCGUUCAGUUCGGCAUCGGUUCCC